rnacentral:rRNA from 1 species
GACGAACGCUGGCGGCGUGCUUAACACAUGCAAGUCGAACGGUAAGGCCCUUCGGGGUACACGAGUGGCGAACGGGUGAGUAACACGUGGGUGAUCUGCCCUGCACUUCGGGAUAAGCCUGGGGAACUGGGUCUAAUACCGGAUAGGACCACUGCCUGCAUGGGUGGUGGUGGAAAGCUUUUGCGGUGUGGGAUGGGCCCGCGGCCUAUCAGCUUGUUGGUGGGGUGAUGGCCUACCAAGGCGACGACGGGUAGCCGGCCUGGGAGGGUGACCGGCCACACUGGGACUGAGAUACGGCCCAGACUCCUACGGGAGGCAGCAGUGGGGAAUAUUGCACAAUGGGCGCAAGCCUGAUGCAGCGACGCCGCGUGAGGGAUGACGGCCUUCGGGUUGUAAACCUCUUUCAGCACCGACGAAGCGCAAGUGACGGUAGGUGCAGAAGAAGGACCGGCCAACUACGUGCCAGCAGCCGCAGUAA